rnacentral:rRNA from 1 species
CAGCCGCCACGGGAAUACAGAGGGUGCAAGCGUUAAUCGGAAUUACUGGGCGUAAAGCGCGCGUAGGUGGUUUGGUAAGAUGGAUGUGAAAUCCCCGGGCUCAACCUGGGAACUGCAUCCAUAACUGCCUGACUAGAGUACGGUAGAGGGUGGUGGAAUUUCCUGUGUAGCGGUGAAAUGCGUAGAUAUAGGAAGGAACACCAGUGGCGAAGGCGACCACCUGGACUGAUACUGACACUGAGGUGCGAAAGCGUGGGGAGCAAACAGGAUUAGAUACCCCUGUAGUCCCUGUCUCUUAUAC